rnacentral:rRNA from 1 species
AUACGUAGGGUGCGAGCGUUGUCCGGAAUUACUGGGCGUAAAGAGCUCGUAGGUGGUUUGUCGCGUCGUCUGUGAAAUUCCGGGGCUUAACUCCGGGCGUGCAGGCGAUACGGGCAUAACUUGAGUACUGUAGGGGAGACUGGAAUUCCUGGUGUAGCGGUGAAAUGCGCAGAUAUCAGGAGGAACACCGGUGGCGAAGGCGGGUCUCUGGGCAGUAACUGACGCUGAGGAGCGAAAGCAUGGGUAGCGAACAGGAUUAGAUACCCUGGUAGUCCAUGCCGUAAACGGUGGGCGCUAGGUGUAGGGGACUUCCACGACUUCUGUGCCGUAGCUAACGCAUUAAGCGCCCCGCCUGGGGAGUACGGCCGCAAGGCUAAAACUCAAAUGAAUUGACGGGG